CAUGCAACCUUUGGCGACUAGUACCCUUUUGAUCCAACCUAUCCGCUAUGGUUAGCAAUCAACGUAACCAACCAUGACCCCAUGGUCUAUGACGUGGUAAUAUGAUUAACUAUCACGUUCCAUAUAUAUAUAUAUAUAUAUCAUAUAGACAUAAUAAUAUAAAGAGACAGAGAUAGAACCACUCACAGCCGCUAUAGCCCGUACCAAUUGGUCAGUCCGUCUCUCGGCUAACCACCCUUGGUCCUUGGCGCCUAUUUCCGUCCAGGAAUAGGUCUUCCUAUUGGCCUUAGUGUCUUAUAAAAGCCACGGCCUCAUAUGGCUAAAGCCAUACUCACCAUGAACCGGAUAGUGCCCUUAUGGUUUUGAUCCCGGAUUCUGCCCUUCCGGCUUGGAUCCUCGUUUCUCAUUGGGGGAUCCCUUUGUUUAGGAUGUGUGUCCUUUGUCUCAGACAGAACGAGACUGAAUGAGAAUGAAUGAAUUGAUCUCUGGUCGUGCAUCCUAUAUAUAGGCAACCAAAGUUCAUGUGCGAAGGGACACAUCCCUUCGAAGCAUCCUUUUGGGACAGAUAUUGACCAUCGAUUACAAUCAACGGUCCAGAUCGUACCUACUGAAUUUAGUGACUACAGCUGCGGUCGCUAAAUAUACCGACCGAAUACCUACUAUUUGGCUACUGAUUUGCGACCAAUAACAAUCAGUUACUAGUUAGUCGCGACUUUACGACUACAGUACAUAGUCCUUAUUCAGUCGGUAAUUUGCGACUAUUUAGCUACUUAUACGAGGUCGCUAUAUUUUUGUCGGCCAUAAGUCGCAAAAUACCGUUACAAAACACGUGGAAAUCGUUACUGAGUUUAGUAAACCGGUUUUUGAUGACUGAUUGUAGUAGUCGCAAAAUCAGUAGCAAUAGAGUAGCAAAAGAGUAGCAAAACAGUCGCUAAAUAUUCUAUAUAUAGAUGAAAACCGACAUAUUUAUUAUCUCAUCACCCGUGUAAGAAUCAUAUCCUUAAAAAAUUUUGAGAAAAAAAAAAUCGUUAACAACAAUGACGAGCAAUUAUAACAACUAUAUUAAUUUUCGUGCUUGGAUGUACAAGAGGAUUGAUGAAGAAACGGGGAAUUUCUCGAGAGAGUUUGUCGCGGGGGUAGAAAAAUUCAUGACGUUUGCAAAUAGUCAAGAAUUAACGCAGAGCAAUGGUGGUAAGUUCUUUUGCCCUUGUAGUAUUUGCAGAAACGAAAAAUUUCUCUCGGGGCAAAAAAUCUUGAAACAUAUAUAUAGUAGAGGAUUUAUGGAAGAUUAUUAUGUUUGGUACAACCAUGGAGAAGAAAUCGACAUGGGAUUAGGAACAAGUUAUGUUGAUCCGACGCAUUUAAGUGGUAGUGAAGAAGUUGGUAAUUUAGUAGAAGAUAGAUAUGUGGAAAUGGUGAAUGAUGCAUUUCGUGAUAAUUUGAAUUAUGAUAAUUAUCAACAGGAUGAUAGUUAUCAAAAUGUUGUAGAUCCGGUUUCCAACCAAUCAAAAAAAUUAUACGAUUUGUUAGAAGGAGCAAAAAAUCCUUUGUAUGAUGGUUGUCACGAAGGUCACUCGCAGUUAUCCUUAGCUGCUCGAGUUUUGCAAAAUAAGACAGAUUAUAAUAUGAGUGAAAAAUGUGUGGAUUCGGUAUGCCAAAUGUUAUCAGACUAUUUACCACCUGGAAACCAAUCAACCGCUUCAAAUUACGAGACAGAAAGGUUGAUGCGCAAUUUGGGCCUCCCCUACCAUACAAUUGAUGUUUGUGUUAACAAUUGUAUGAUCUUCUGGAAAGAAGAUGAAAGAUGGGAUAAAUGUCGAUUUUGUGAUGCACCAAGAUGGAAGCCUAGAAAUGAACGGCGUAGGACAAAAGUACCAUAUAGUCGUAUGUGGUAUCUACCUAUUGCUGACAGAUUGAAGAGAAUGUACCAGAGCAAGAAGACUGCAUCAGCAAUGAGAUGGCAUGCAGAGCACCAAGCAAAGGAGGGUGAAAUGUGUCAUCCGUCAGAUGCGGCGGAGUGGAAAUACUUUCAAGAUCAACAUCCCCGUUUUGCAGAAGAACCUUGCAAUGUUUAUCUUGGCUUAUGUACGGAUGGCUUCAAUCCAUUUGGAAUGUCUAAUAAUCAUUCGUUGUGGCCAGUGAUCUUGACUCCAUAUAAUCUACCCCCUGGUAUGUGCAUGAAGACAGAGUACUUGUUUCUCACAAUUUGGAAUUCUGGACCGAAUCACCCGCGAGCUAGUCUAGAUAUCUUCCUCAAACCUUUGAUUGAGGAGUUGAAAGAGUUAUGGUCUACUGGAGUUGAAGCAUAUGAUGUCUCCUUGAAUCAAAAUUUCAAUCUUAAAGCAGUGCUUCUUUGGACGAUAAGCGAUUUUCCGGCAUAUGGCAUGCUAUCAGGAUGGACGACCCAUGGGAAGUUGUCUUGUCCAAUUUGCAUGGAAGAUUGUAAGGAUUUUUAUCUGACUAAUGGAAGGAAGACCUGUUGGUUUGAUUGUCAUCGAAGAUUUCUUCCUCGUAACCAUCCACUGAGGAAGAAUAAAAAGGACUUCUUGAAGGGAAAACGCGCUUUGAAUGAUUUUCCACCUGAAUCUUUGACUGGUGAGCAAGUUUAUUCGGAGCUGUUAAAUGGUGUCAAUCCACCAAAAACAUCUAAGUGUGGUGGAAAUGGUCAUGAUAAGAAGAAACCUGGAUAUGGGAAACGCCAUAAUUGGCACAAGGAAAGCAUAUUCUGCGAGCUGCCAUAAUGGAGGGACCUCAUUCUUCGACAUAAUCUUGAUGUGAUGCAUAUAGAAAAGAAUUUUUUUGACAACAUCAUGAAUACGCUUAUGAAUGUGAAGGGUAAGUCGAAAGACACAAUCAAGUCAAGAUUGGAUAUAGCACUUUUCUGUGAUAGGGAACAUUUACAUGUUGAUAGCAAUGGGCAAGCUCCUUUCCCUCCCUACACAUUGGACAAGAAUGCAAGAACAAGUUUAUUGGAAUGUGUGAAACAUUCGGUAAAAUUCCCAGAUGGUUAUGCUUCAGACCUAGCUAGGUGUGUUGAUCUUGAGAAUGGCAAGUUUUCAGGCAUGAAGAGUCAUGACUGCCAUGUUUUUAUAGAGAGGCUACUUCCAUUUAUACUUGCAGAACUCCUAGACCAAAACGUCCAUCUUGCGUUAUCAGGUAGUAAUUUUUUGUUUUUUGAAAUUUUGAUAUAUAUAAAUAUAUGUGUGUUAAUAAUUAGUGUUGUACUCACAAUAUACAAACGAAAUCAAGGUAAAAACAUAGAUAUGAUUCAUAUGUUCACUUUUUCAGAUAUAAAAUGUUAUAUUUUCAUCAUUUGGGCAGGUUCACGAGAUUUGAUGAAGGUGAAGUCCCUGUAUAUCAUGUCGAAGGAGUAACUGAUAUAUUUACUCACGUAGGUCGUCCAAGUGGAGAAAUGCAAGAAAUAUGGCUAUCCGAAAAAGAUUAUCAAUGCGCACAUUCAUAUGUUUUGCGAAAUUGUGAAUAUUUUCAGCCAUUUGAGAGGUAUAUAAUUUGACAAUUGUUAACCUUAUGUUUUUUUAUAUAUCCUACUUUGAUUUCUCAUAUUUGUGUUGGUCUAAUAUAGGAUGUUCGAAGAUUAUAUCAGUGCAAAAUAUCCAGACAUUUCCGAAGAAGAACUCUCCACGAAGAGAGCAGAUGAAUAUCAUAUAUGGGUGAAAGAUUAUGUAUGUCUUAGUAAUUAUACAUGUAUUAAGUGUUUUUCGUUCUUUACAUUGAUAUAUAUAUAUAUAAAUAUAUUGAUACAGGUUAGCUACUGGAGCAACACACAUCCUUUUCCUCUUUGGGUUAAAGAUAUGGCGAAUGGACCCAUGAAUAAAGCUAAAGCAUGGCCUAUCUAUUUCACAAGAGGUUUUUUGUUUCAUACGCAGAAGCAUGGUGAGGGACGAAAGACUUGUAACUAUGGAGUAUGUGUUAAAGGAGAGAGUUAUACAAAUAUAACUGAUGAAGCACAUUACUACGGGAUCUUAACUGAUAUCAUAGAAAUCAAGUAUGAGGGGGUGGUCGAUUUGAGAAUCACACUUUUUAAGUGUAAGUGGUAUGAUCCUGUUCUUGGUAGAGGCACUCGGCGAAGCAAUGGUGGUAUCGUUGAUGUUCUUUCAUCAAGGAAAUACUGCAAAUAUGACCCAUUUAUUCUAGGUACAUACACACACAUAUAUAUAUAUUUUUUUGACAUCAGGUACGUAUAAUAUGUAUAUAUAUAUAUUGAUAUUUGAUAUUACACAGCUUCACAAGCAGAACAAGUUUGUUAUAUCCCGUAUCCAUAUGUAAAGAAACCAAAGCAAUUGUGGCUUAAUGUUCUUAAAGUGAAUCCGAGGAGAUUAAUCGUUGCUGGAGAAUAUGAAGACGUAGCCUCGAUUACGUUACAACAAGAAAACGAUGAUGCUGUUCUGAUGACUACAGUUGAAGACCUACAAUUUGAGCAUUUGGUACAUGCUCGAAAAGAACCAAUAAAUCUCGAUUUCGAGGUGGGAGAUGGAGAACCAAAUGACGAAUUUCGAUGUAAUUUAUCGUCUUCUGAUGAUGAUGUUUAAGUUAUUUGAGGCAAUAUGUAAUGAUAUAUAUUAUUGAAAUAUUAACUUUAUGGUGUGUUUUUUUUAUAAAAAAAAAUUGUAUUUAGCUAAGUAAUCCCACCUACACCAUAAGUAACCCGCCUAUAAACCCUAAACUUACUAAACCCAAACAUUUGAUAAUUAGAAUCCCUCCUAAACCCAAAAAUUUAACUAAUCCCGCCUAUAAACCCAAAAUUCAGUAAACCCGCCUAAAACCAAUUAUUUUUGGACUUUAAUUAGAUUUUUUUACUACUCAUCGGCAACCCUAAUCACUCUCUAACUCUCUCGAUCUCACACCGCCUCCUCUCUAACUUGCGAUUUCACUCUCGAUCUCGAUCUCUCACUCCGGCGAUUUCACCGAAGCUACUCCGGCGAUGGGUGGAAAGAGGAAGCGCAAACUCGUGGCACCGGGUUCGUCGAUUAAUAAAACACCAAGACCAUUACCGACUCGGUAUGACUUCGUCUCUAAGGCGACGAUGUCGAAUCUUCCACCGGUGGUUCUCCCUAACAACAAUCUGGCGCCGUCGGUAAGGGAUUAUCCACCUCCGAGGCAACUCUUUCCGUCCUCCACGUUCCCACCUUCUGGAUCUGCUCCGGUUCCUCAAACUCAGCCUCCAACUCGAGUACCUCAGUCUUCUGGCGGUGAAGGUACUUCAUAUCCUCAUCCUGGGCGGAGACAAUCUCAAUCUUCUCCACUUCAUGGAGCUCCAUCGCCUCACAGUUCUCAAGCACAAAACUCUCAUGGAGACCCAGAAGAUUUUGCUGAGUUCGAAGCUCCAGUUGAACCUGAUCUCUCGGAGGACGUGAUGGAUGUAUUAAACCGUAUGCUAGCCCAACCAGGCCGAGAGGAGUUCACAACGGUCCUCUCUCCCAAACUCGAGCCUGGUACAACAUGGUUUGGUUAUGACAAGUCCAGCUUGACCCGUAGGAUAACAAAGAUUAUGAAAAAGAAGUUUAAUAAGCCUUU